rnacentral:rRNA from 1 species
UGGGGAAUAUUGCACAAUGGGCGCAAGCCUGAUGCAGCCAUGCCGCGUGUAUGAAGAAGGCCUUCGGGUUGUAAAGUACUUUCAGCGGGAGGAAGGGAGUAAGGUUAAUAACCUUAUUCAUUGACGUUACCCGCAGAAGAAGCACCGGCUAACUCCGUGCCAGCAGCCGCGGUAAUACGGAGGGUGCAAGCGUUAAUCGGAAUUACUGGGCGUAAAGCGCACGCAGGCGGUCUGUCAAGUCGGAUGUGAAAUCCCCCGGGCUCAACCUGGGAACUGCAUUCGAAACUGGCAGGCUGGAGUCUUGUAGAGGGGU